AUAUAUAUAUAUAUAUAUAUAUAUAUAUAUAUAUAUAUAUAUAUAUGAAUGAAUGAAUCAUGAUGAUCUGGAUGUGCAGGAUAUUUACAGCUGCAACAUUUGGAGGCUUUCAACUGAGUCAGUGCAAUCAUGGGUAACCUGGAGCUGAGUAUAUCAAUGUGCAAAGGAGCUUGAGGAGCGAGGAAGCUGGAAGGACCCUUUAAUGUUCUACAGGAGCAGUACAACAAGAUCCAGAAGAGGAGGCGCCUGGCAGAAGAGAAGAGAUGAGGAAGGAAGAGAUGAGGCAGCUGGAGCUGAAAGCCAAAGCUACUAUCAUCAUCCAGGCAUGGUGGAGAGGGUACAGUGUUCACAAUGCCAUAAAGAACAAGUCCAAGAGGACCAAAAAGAACAAGGCAAAGAUGACCAAAUAAACCAGCCUGCUUCACACUUUAUCUGUAGAUGCCUGUAGGUUUAGAUUUUAUACAAAAAGCUUUUCGAUUGUUAAUUUAUGGUGUUUCUGUCAAAUUUGGAACAUCCCUGGUCUCAGUUGUAAGCUGAAAACAUUGGGUAAAUAAACUGUUGUUUUAUGAAACGGCCACAGGA